AGCCAGCGGAGGCAGUUGGGAAGGAUCAGAAUUCUCUGGGGGAAGCCCAGCCAGAAGCUUUAGUCUCUCCCAGGCAGAGGUGGCAGAGUCCAGCUCUGGGAGGCUCACAGAAGGGGGCUGAGGCUGUUGGAGCCCAUGGGAGAAUGAUAGCAGGAUGAAAUCAGAGGGUAGAUAUGGAGUCAAACACAAAAUUAUCUUGACUCAUCUGGGAAACUAAGGACAAAAGCAGUAACUGAGUUUCUACAGAGAACCACUUGUGUUCUUGGGGAAAGGAGAUUAUUCACAGAGAAACACGGGCCUUCCAUGUCUGCCUUCAAAGACAUUAGACUCAAAGCCAAGGCUGGGGGAGCAGAGAAGAGCAGGAAACCUGAAAGAUUUGGAGACAACUCGGUAGUAUUUUUGGUUAACACAAGCGGUGCCUUCUAACCACCAGAUCCCAUCGUCUUCAAGAGCCGCCUGAACUGGCAAGGCAACUGAGAAGUGUCCUUAAGACCUGCACCAGCUCGUCCUGCUCUUUGGAAAUAAGAGCUCGGAGGGCCGCACGUGACAGGGAAAAUGGAAAUUUAUAGCACUGGAGACUCCCUACAGUCCGUCACCUUCUGGUUCUAUCCUGUCCCUCCCCGCCGCCACCUAUUCCACGUGACUCUCUCCUCUGGGUUCCAGACGUGCCAAAGCAUUCCAAGACAGAGGCCAUGCCUUCCUGCCUGGCUCACAUUGUCAAACAAGAGAAGGGAGGCCAAAGACAGGUAUCUGUCCGGGGCGGGGGACAAGAUCUCUGUGCUGCCUGCAGCCUCUGGCAGGCAGCGAUGAGAAGGGAACCAGAGCUUUUGCGACCACCCACCGACCACCGGAGACAGCUAACACGGGAGGAGAAGGCUCUGUUAUGCCAACUCUGUGAGGUACACCGAGUUGAUGUUACGGCUGUGCUGCAAAUGAAGAAAUCGAGGUCCAGAGAAGCAGCAUGACCUCCCUAAGUCGGAGGCAGGAUACGGAAGAAGUGAGGGGAACUGCUAUUCUGUAUAAAGUCCCUGAGCUGGGACAGGCAAUCAGACAAAGGUAGACAGGAAAGAGAGUAACCUACGUAUCCCUGCUUUGUGACAAAAUGGAUUUAAGGUGAAACCACCGAAGAGGACAUUUUUAAGUGGAUUCGAUUGUACAAGUAAUUCAACAACUGGGGUAUCUGUAAUAAUAAUUUGCAGUUGCAUCAACUGCUUUCAAUAGUUUAAUUCAAUGGAUAAUUACUAAAUGCCAAACCUUAAUAAAGGUGAGAUAGUAUCCAGGAAAAGACAAAGAUGGGCCCCGCCCAACUCUACCUAAUAAUCUGGGUGCAGACAGCGGGGUGUGGUCAAGUACAUGGACAAUUACUGUAAAAUUCCACACCAGCUGUCUCUCUAGUGACCACAGCUGAGUGUUCUUACUAUCAGUCAGUCCCUAAAUACUGCAAAAAUUCGUCCUCAUAGCUGUUUAUAUUCUGUGUAUUCUGAUGACAUCUCGCGAAUUGUCCUACUGUUCCUCAACAACAAAAAUUGCUCCCCAGAUGAAGGCUGAUGCAGCAGCCCCCAGCGCCCACCCUCAGCCUUUGUUGUCUGCAAGCCUGCCACUCCCUCAGAGACAAUGGCCUUGGGACUUUGCUCUCUAUUUUUUUUUUCUUUUUUUAAAGAUUUUGUUUAUUCAUUCGGCGGCGGACAGAGGGAGAGGGAGAAGCAGGUUCCCUGCUGAGCAGAGAGCCCGAUGCGGGGCUCGACCCCAGGACCCUGGGAUCAGGACCUGAGCUGAAGGCAGAUGCUUAACUGACUGAGCCACCCCGGCUCCCCUGUUUUCUCCUUUCAAACAGAAGAACGUCUAAACAAACACACGGGGUUAAUUAUGGAUGGAUCAAACAGAGAGCAGCCCAUAGAGACUCCCAAAAGCAAAGCAUUCCAUCAGGAUGGAGAAAAGACUGUUGGCAAACUCAGGAAGAAGAGGGAGAUGAAGCCGGGGAGAGGGACAAGAAGAUGGAGUUGAGCAGAGAAGCUGAGAUUUCAUGGAAAACGAAGAAGGAAGAUUCUGGCUCAUUAGGCUCAUGGUGGUUAAACCUGGGGGCUUCUGACGCUGCUUAGUUCAAGCACCAAUUCUGUCCCUUGGUAAGAGGCAGUUGACCCAACAUUUUGAGUCAUAGUUUUCCCACCUGUAACUAGGCAAUCGGUACCUCUCCUGAAGAGUCAGGAGUCGCCGGUGCGUGAGGUAGUUAGUGUUUCUCCAGGCUUGAUGGGCCGGUGUGGUCACGCUGACAAGACGCUCUCUGUCAGUGGGCACUAGUUUAUGAUUCUAAACACCUCCUUUAGGGGCUCCUGGGUGGCUCAGUCAUUAAGUAUCUGUCUUCGGCUCAGGUCAGGAUCAGGGUCCUCAAAUCAAGUCCUUGUCAGGCUGCUGCUCAGCAGGGAGUCGGCUUUGCCCUGUCCUUCUGCCCCUCCCCCUAGCUUGUGCACAUGCACACACUUGCUCUCCCUCUCUCUAAUAACUAAAUAAAACCUUUAAAAAUAAAAAUAAAAAU